CUCAAGCUCCAAAUUAUAGUGUAACUCAGAGAGCUUUGAUCCGUGCUGAGUUUGUUCUUCAUCUGCUCUUUCUAACAGGUAGCCAAGCAGUUUGAUUAAGGACAAUACUGCCAGAAAGAAACUACAAGCCUCACAACCAUUUGAGAAGGACAAGGAGCUGGUGACGUUGUAUUUGACAUUGUGUUAAAUUGCUGACAGAGAAGAGUAGCUGAAGAUGACAGGCAAUAAUCAACAUGGGGUGAAGUCUGAAAAGAAAGGAUCCACCAGUGGGAAACAAUCUCAGAAGGAUUUAGGAUCUUUUGACAGAUCCUGUGCAGUGUUAAAUUUCAGUAAAGAUGGAGAGAACAGUAAUUCUAAAAAUAUGACAGAGGAACAAGAAGAAGGGAACUCUCAGAUGUUUAAACCCGCUCUGGCAAUAACAAUGUGAAACAUCACAAGCACACUUCAGUCACUCAAGAGGGAAGGCCAUCACUGCUGGAUGGUGGAAAUACUGAAUUUCAGAUGGAGAUUACACACGUGAUGAAGAAAAAAUUCAGAUAGCAAAGCUAUUUCCAGGGUGUAUGCAAAAACCUUUAUAAUUACCACAUGUAACUAAUGAUCAGAAGUUAACCACAAGGAAUUAAAUAACUGCAGAGGAGAAUUCAGGUGCCAUCUUCACCUCAUCUGCUCAAAAAUAAAAGACAUAUAUUUCCCUAAAAGGCUUAUCCU
rnacentral:lncRNA from 14 species